rnacentral:rRNA from 1 species
GACGAACGCUGGCGGCGUGCUUAACACAUGCAAGUCGAACGGAAAGGCCCUGCUUUUGUGGGGUGCUCGAGUGGCGAACGGGUGAGUAACACGUGAGUAACCUGCCCUUGACUUUGGGAUAACUUCAGGAAACUGGGGCUAAUACCGGAUAGGAGCUCCUGCUGCAUGGUGGGGGUUGGAAAGUUUCGGCGGUUGGGGAUGGACUCGCGGCUUAUCAGCUUGUUGGUGGGGUAGUGGCUUACCAAGGCUUUGACGGGUAGCCGGCCUGAGAGGGUGACCGGCCAAAUUGGGACUGAGAUACGGCACAGACUCCUACGGGAGGCAGCAGUGGGGAAUAUUGCACAAUGGGCGGAAGCCUGAUGCAGCACAGCCGCGUGCGGGAUAACGGCCUUCGGGUUGUAAACCGCUUUCGCCUGUGACGAAGCGUGAGUGACGGUAAUGGGUAAAGAAGCACCGGCUAACUACGUG